AAAACAAUGUCCAAGGAACUUCUGUUGAUCAAUACCAACUGUUAAUACUAAGGUUUCGGCCAAGAGAAAAUUAAAAAGGUCCCUCUGAAGGAACUCUGGAUAAGGCGAUUUUGUGGAAAUUGCUGUGCUGUGUCUUUAGACUCCAACUCACCAUUGGGAGCACCAGAUACUUCAGUCAACAGAUCUUAGUGAACCUGGUUUUAAAAGUAAGUUAAACUGAAGGGCUUGAACCUACAAACCAAGGGGAACUUGUUAGUCACUAGGUGACUGUCAGGGUACCUGUUUUCUUUAUGCUAAAAAGGGAUUACACAAGUUGCGGGGGGUAGGCGGAUUGUUAGGCGUUGGGGAUGGUUAGGUAAGAGCAGGUCCGUCUGCUGGCCUCGGAGCGGACACUGACCACAGCUCCUUAAUCCAAGGAAGCAACAAAAAACGAACUGCAGUGGUUUAAAAUCCGGAGGAGACCACCGCGUUGGGCCGGAUGCGUGGUUCUUAAGAGAAACGUGCAUCCUCCCGGAGGCCAAGGCCUCCUUCAGUUCCAGAAAAAGACAUCUCAGCUUACACGAGGUACCGAACGAAGAGAGGGAGCCAGAACAUUUCCAGCAUACCGUCCCCCUUCCCCACCCCCGAACUACCCUGGAUCUCCGUCAAACACAGGAAAGGUGUUCUCUGUAACCUAACGGAUGACUUCACCCACUUCGUUCCCAGAAGCCUAAGAGCCACGCGACAGCACUAAGAGCCUUCGUUGGGAUUCACAAAAAGGAGAGGCGCACAGUCGUGCGCGAACCCCCAACCUCCCGGGGACGGAAGGUGGAAGAACGCAGGUGUGCCCCCUCCAGGGCUCCCGGCCGGGCCCGCCAGCACCCCGCUCGCGUCUCGCGCUCCUGUUACCUCGCAAGCAUAUCCGCCGGCGUCCGACACUUGAGCCGUCGGUUCCGCGGGUGCUUUCUCCUCCUCCCCGGCGGCCAAGGGGCUACUGGGAGCCGCCCUGGGAUCCCCGCCGCCACCCGGUGCAGCCUGGCUAACGUUCACGCCGGCGCCCACUCCUCCGGCCGACGAGGCGGCGGCGGCGCCUAGCAGCGCGUGGGUCCCGUCGGCGUUCCCGGCUGCCACGCUGUGCACCAGCCACGCGUCCACUCGGGUGCAGGGGAUGAAGGGGACCCCCAGCGCGCGGACCUCCCGGAGCAGCCGGCCCUCCGGCGGCGCCGCGGUGUCCCGCUCCCGGCCCUUGGGGUGCAGCAACUCGGCGUGCCCCCACCUUCCCGAGGCCGGGAAGGAGCUGAGCUCGUAGGCGAGGCUCGUCAGGCCGCCCGGGAGCAGCAGGUAGAGGUCUAGGUCCAGGUCCAGGUGCAGCCCCGCCAAGCUCAGCAGGAUGGUGAGGUGCAGGAGGCUGCCGCCGUCCGACCACCACGGCUUCAGUCUAUAAUCCUUUGAAAGUUGCUUCGGACACGGGGAUGGUGAUGAUCACACGUGGCAUUCAUUAGAGGAGCUGCAGCGUCCUGAACCCUGCUCUGUGCUGGGACCUUUCCAGGCACUAUCUCAUUUACUCCUCACAGCAACUCUGUGCAGUUUGAACAUCAUUUAUAUAGUCUCUUAAACAUUUUGUAUUUCACCUUGUCUUUUUUUUUUUAACAUGGCUCUCGAAAUUGUCCUUGUUGACUCAUAAAAAUUUCAUAUUUAUCAUAUGCUGCCUUCACCCACCUUUUAAAAAGGUAAAUACUAGUCAUAGUUUCUGCUUGCUGACAAAUGUUGUCUAUGAUACUGUAGUGGGUUGAACAGACCCCCCAAAUUCACGUCACCACACCAAACCUCAGAAUGUGACCUUUUUUGGAAAUAGGGUCUAUGCAGAUGUAACUAAGGUAAGGAUUGAGGUGACAUCAUACUGAAUUAGAGUGGGCCCUGAAUCCAAUGUGAGCGUUCUUACAAGAGACAGACAAGGGCACACACACCUUCAGAGAAGGAGGUGAUGCGAAGACAGAGGCAGAGACUGGAGCUAAUGCUAAACAAGCCACCAGAAGCGGGAAGAAGCCAGAAAGGAGUCUCCCCUAGAGCCUUCAGAGGGAGCACGGCCCUGCCCACAGUUUGAUUUCAGACUUUCUGGUCUCUGGAACUGAGAGAACACAUUUCCGUUGUUUUAAGCCACCAAGGUUUUGUGUGGUAAUUUGU